rnacentral:rRNA from 1 species
GACCACCAGUGGCGAAAGCGUCAGACUGGAACGCGCCUGACGGUGAGGGACGAAAGCCAGGGGAGCGAACCGGAUUAGAUACCCGGGUAGUCCUGGCCGUAAACGAUGCAUACUAGGCAAUGGUGCGGCCAUGAGCCGCAUCAGUACCGUAGGGAAACCGUUAAGUGUGCCGCCUGGGAAGUACGGUCGCAAGGCUAAAACUUAAAGGAAUUGGCGGGGGAGCACCACAAGGGGUGAAGCCUGCGGUUCAAUUGGACUCAACGCCGGGAAACUUACCAGGGGAGACAGCAGAAUGACAGUCAGGUUGACGACCUUACUCGACGAGCUGAGAGGAGGUGCAUGGCCGUCGCCAGUUCGUGCUGUGAGGUAUCCUGUUAAGUCAGGCAACGAACGAGAUCCGCGCCUUUAUUUGCCAUCAAGAAGUCACGACUUCGUUGGGAACUCUAAAGGGACCGCCGUCGAUAAGACGGAGGAAGGAGCGGGCAAAGGCAGGUCAGUAUGCCCCGAAACCCCUGGGCUACACGCGGGCUGCAAUGGUGCGAACAAUGGGCUGUAACUCCGAAAGGAGAAACCAAUCCCGAAAUCGCAUCUCAGUGGGGAUUGUCGACUGUAACUCGUUGACAUGAACGUGGAAUCCCUAGUAAUCGCGUGUCACCAUCGCGCGGUUGAAUACGUCUCUG